rnacentral:lncRNA from 1 species
GUAUACUGGGUAGUUGUUGUUGUUGUUGUUGUAGUACAAAACAUGCCCUUUUUUUGUACUCUAUAGUAGUAGCUAGCUCUCUUUUUUUCAUAGCAAUUCGUGCUAUGAGUAUUCUUAGACCGGAUUCUCUUGAAGGAUAAUCACUUUAGUUAUUCUUUUUUGUAGGUGGAUUAGAUCAAGAAAUAAAUGAUGAAGAACUAGACCUUACUUUAGAUAAUUUUGAAUUGUUAUAGAUGAAUAUUAUGAAUCUUUUGUUACUAAUAUUUUUUUAAACUUAUUUACCCUCUUGAAAUGUACUAAACUUAUGCACUCAUGAGGUAGAGCAUUUGCUUUAUGGAUAGUAUUAUUUACUUGAUGGAUAAUUUUAUAUUAUUAAUAGUUUCAUUUUAUGAUGCAUUUAAAUUUUAGUGUUAUUAUAAUUUAUUAUAUGUAUAAAUUUUAUUUAUAACAGGUGAUAUAUUUUGGUUUUAAUUGAACUAAUACAAUAGCCUACCUAAACCAUUGCAAUAGAAUACAAAUGGUGUUCCAGUAGACAAUGUAAACUGUUGCAAUAGGCGUCAUAAAUUGUUCUAAAAUAAUCUACAAAAACGUUCCAAAUACAAAUAUAACCGUUACGAUAGCUUAAAGAAACCGUUGCUAUAUCCAAUAUAACUAUAGCAAUAGCUUACAUAAGUAUUGCUUUAAAUAAUAUGGCAACAAUUAAGAACCAUUGUAUAAACAAUGUAGUAGUGGUUUUAAACCGUUCCAAUUGAAAAAAAUAAUCGUUCCAAAAAAGAAGGAAAAAACCGUUGCAAUAGACAUAUCUAUUGUCACGGGGAUGCAAACCGUUGCAAGAACUGUUCCAGUAGACCUAUGGGUACGCCGGUUGAUUUACCGGAUGGUAAACCGUUCCAAAAUCGCUACGGUAACGGUUUGGCAGUCUAUGGGGACAGUUUUCCAACCGUUAAUUUUUCAAUAGUGAUCCAUUUUCCAUUUCCUUGUGCCCUAGUUUCAGUAUUUGGUUGCAUUUCACUCGCCUGUGAGUUACCCACUGACUGGGUUGCUGUUUCUUUGUUCUGAUUAACAUUGAUCUGCAUAAUUCCUGCUAUAGUUGCACCUGAAAGAGGUGUAUUAAGUCCACUCCUUUGAUUUGAUAAUUUCGGCCUGGUUCAUCAUUGUUCACUUCGCCCUAUAUUUACUUGCUACACCUAUUCUUUUCGCAAUAGCCUCAAUGGCUACUGUCGCUUCGUUGUUUUGCUUCUUCGCCGGCCUUUCUUUAGCCAUUUCCAAUGGUUGGGCAGGUAAAAUCACUGUCGUGCACCCAGAGAGAAAAAGUAGAGAGAGAAAUAAUAUAAUGAUUUUAAGCGUUCUGUCAAUUACGUUGCUGGUCAGGUUCAUCUAAUUUGAUCGAUGGUAAUGGAUGGAUUUCAAUAGACAAAAAAAACUAAAAAAGAACAAAAGUUGUAGUCUACUGUGGAAAUUUGCAAUUUGACUAGAUUGUGCGUUAGUGGUGUUGAGUUGUCCCACAUCGUAGGGAUUUGAGGUCCUUGGUCUCUUUAUAUGUCUUGGGCAAUCCUCACCUCAUAAGCUAGCUUUUGGGGUUGAGUUAGGUCCAAUGUCCAUUAUUAUCAUGGUAUCACACCCAGACCCAUCCUAAUUACUGUUACCGAUGUUGGGCCCCCAUUUAUGUUGUCCACGCUCCAGAGAUCUGGGUGUGAUGGGGGGUGUUGAGUUGUCCCGCAUCGGAGGGAUUUGAGGUCCUUGGUCUCCUUAUAUGGCUUGGACAAUCCUCACCUCAUAAGCUAGCUUUUGGGGUUGAGUUAGGUCCAAUGUCCAUUAUUAUCAUGGUAUCACACCCAGACCCAUCCUAAUUACUGUUACCGAUGUUGGGCCCCCAUUUAUGUUGUCCACGCUCCAGAGAUCUGGGUGUGAUGGGGGGUGUUGAGUUGUCCUACAUCGAAGGGAUUUGAGGUCCUUGGUCUCUUUAUAUGGCUCGAAAAACAUAGGGAUAAACAAAAAAUCCUCACCCGAUGGAGGCAAAAAUCAGAACAGAAUAUAAACUGAAGCAUUUCAGUCAACAGUCAAAUGAUGACACAUUUGAACUGGCAUGGUACAACCUGUACUUAAUUAGUAGUACCAGGUUUUUAAUGUGUCUUUGACUCAUGUCUUAAUGAAAAUUAUUGUGAGACAAAUUAUACCACCAAAACAUUCCAUCACGAUAUACGGAGAGGAUGUUUGGAUUAAAUUAUUUUAAGUAUUUAUUGAUUUUUAAGGAUGUUUUUAGAUUGUGUAGUAUUUAACAAUGAUAAAAAGUGUUUAAAAGUACUUAUUUAUAAAAAUAAAAAGUAUAAAAAUAAGCCAAAAGCUAAAAAUUAAAUAUUAUCAACUUAUGACUUUUGAUUUUUAGCUUAAAAGCAACAUUUUAUAAGUCAAUUCAAACACAGUAAGUACGAAAAGGAAAAGCUGCCAAAGGCGUUGGGUUUCCAAUAUGUAAAAUUAUGAAUUUUUAAGUUUACACACUAAAAAUGUAAUUAAAAAAAAGUUUGUAUAAUCUUUAAAUAUUUUUUACGCUAUCAAAAUAUAGAACUUGUACACUAAUAUAGAAAGUUUAUUAAAUUAUCUCUUUCCACCUCAACCACCUUACUUUAGUCUGAAAAUAGAAACUAAGUGGCCAAAAAAAUCAUAAUAUGCAGUGUUUAGUAAUUUUCUAGACAUUAUUGUUCAAUCGGGCCUUUUUCACUGCUUGUUUAAUCCUGUAAAGGAAAAUCACUUAAAUUUAGAACUUCACAUACUUUCUUUUCCAUAUAACGUCCAAAUUAAUGUUUUUGUAUCAUAUGUGUGCUGUCUUUUUUACCAAAAGAAAAGGUCACAAUAUGUAGACCACGCAUUCUAGUCUACAUCUCUAGUUGCUGAAAUUAAAACCUAUUGAUUUGUUCAUGCAUUUAGAUCUUUCAUAGCUGAUAGUAUGUAAAUAAAACUAUAUACACUAUAGUUGAUGCUCAAUGCAUGCUGAAUGGUAUCCUUCAUUGAAUACGGAAAUCUAUUUGUAUUUAUACUGAUGCAUAUUUCAACGGAAAUUUAUAUGUAUUAUACUGAUAUACAUAUGCGUAGAUAAUAUAUUUUUCUAAAAAAACAAUACGCAUAUAAACCAUAGGUCGAGAUAGUCUAGGAAAAAUAAUUACUACAAAAUAAACAUCAGUUUGAAAUAAAAACUAAAACCUUAAAACCUCAAAGCCCCAAAUUCAAAAUCAAUAUAUAAAGGUCGAAUGAUAAGCAUCCAUGUGUUCGAGAGAUAGAAAACGAUCGCUGUGGCGGGAUUUACCAGGUAGGUAUAAUUCAACGGGACCCUAAAACAAAAGCGGAUGGGCCUUCCUUAAGAAAAAAGCCAAUCUGAUUUCGGGGGCAUGUAGGCGGAGAAAGGCUGGGAAACUAUAAGGUCUCGUAGGAAAAAGACAAAACGUAGGUAGGCUGCCACGCGGAGUGAAGGUAACUAGCCAAUUCCCCAAGGUCUAGUAAACUAAGGUGGUAGUGCAGACAAGGUUAAUUCACUCUGGGAUUGGUAGUCCCGUCUGCUCUGACGUCGGAAUAAUCAUUAUAAUACGAUGAUAGCACCUGAUUAGCAAGAAAUUCCCUGCUCUCCUCUUAGCAAUGAUCUGUCUAGGGCUACUUUCAAAACUGCGGAUUCUGUAAUAAGACCCUAUUCAUGGGCAAUAGGCUGCCACGCGGAAGUGAAGGUAACUAGCCAAUAUUACUCACGCAAAAUUCUGCUAAUUACACUACUGUGAUAGGGAUGAGAUGAGUAGGCUAGUACAAUAUAUGUCAUAGGAUAAAGUUGAGAAACGUGAUAUAACAAGCUUUGUUUCUUUUUUUAUUUCUUAUGAACAAGCUUUUAGAACGUGGUAUGUCUUGUUUGUAGCCUAGAGAGGAAAAGCAAAUUGUCAGAUAAAGAAGAAUAUCCCCACACAAAUAUUGAAUCGACAUGAACAUGCUUCCCACUUUUAAAUAUGUAAAACAAUUAUUUUAAAAAUAAAGAAAAUCAAUACAUCCCGAAAGACUGAUGAAUUUUGUAGCUGAAUAGCAAGAAUUCAAGUAAAGCUGUUAAUAUGGUUGUCUGAGUUUUAGUAGAUGGGAAAUAAGUAAAAUUCUGUAUAUUCGUAAGAUUUUCAGGCCAAGACGAAGAAUAAGAUGAACUACUUCUUCAAUAAAUUAAUUAAAAUACCGCAAUUAAUAUUCUAAUUCACCAAAAAAAAGGAAAAUAUAUAAAUAGUAGAAUAUUUCCGACAAUUUCAAAAUCUUGGCUAUGAUGCAAUGGUCAAAUCAAAGUAAAAUUAUUAUGCAUUUAGGGCUAAAUUCACAUAUAGGAAAUCAACAAUUCUACUAUGCUAGAAUGUGAAAGUCAUAAACAAAAAUGAUGAACGAAAUAAGCAAUAUAAUGGCAAUGCUGACUUAGUAAAAUGAUAAUCAUAUUAAAACAACAACGUUUCUCCCUCUCUUCUAUACCCAAAUGUACCCAACCAUUUUCCCCUAAACUACAAGGAGGAAAUUCUUUCCAGAAAAAUGGAAAAAAAGAAAAAUAAAAAAUUUGUCAUUGGUUCCUCAUGUACGAGGACUCCAACAUUGUAACCCCCACCCAAAACCUAAUAGACAUUCUGAAAAAUACAUCAAGAAAAAUCGCAAUGUCACGCAUAUAUAUACAUACAACAUAAAAUUAAUAUUAAAAUUAAAAUUCACUCACUGGAACUAGAAAUAGUACUGAGGUUCCUCAACUUCAGCUUCUUCGUCAACUCUGAAAUUUGUCUUCAUAUAUAAUUAAGACAACUUGAUUUGAUGAGAUAAAAGGGAUCCGAGGUUCCUCUCAGCGCAAAAUUAUAGAUUUCUUUCAACCUUUUGACUGUAAAAAUAGCAGGCUGAAAUUUUCUUGCAGCUGACAUGAUCACUCCGAUCCACCUCCUCCCAUCAAUAUGAAGUCAUGUUCUUUUUUCUCUACAGUCUUGACAUUUUAGUAGAAGGGAGAAAAAUAAGACAAAUAAAAAACUAUGUUUGCUCGGAUCCUUUAAAAAUUUCAUCUAACGCAUUUUCUCAGGAACUGACACAGGUUCGACGAUAUUCCUAGAGGAUCCGAACAUAGCUAAAAGGUACCUACCUAGCUACGAAAGACACAUGUUAAUAAAAGGAGAGGGAGAUCAAGAUAAAAGAAAAAAGGAAAAAAAAAAGAGACAAAUUAAUGCACUG